UACGUAGGGGGCUAGCGUUGUCCGGAAUCAUUGGGCGUAAAGAGCGUGUAGGCGGCUCGGUAAGUCCGCUGUGAAAAUCCAGGGCUCAACCCUGGAAUGCCAGUGGAAACUGUCGAGCUAGAGUCCGGAAGAGGCGAGUGGAAUUCCUGGUGUAGCGGUGAAAUGCGCAGAUAUCAGGAGGAACACCAAUGGCGAAGGCAGCUCGCUGGGACGGUACUGACGCUGAGACGCGAAAGCGUGGGGAGCAAACAGG
rnacentral:rRNA from 1 species